rnacentral:rRNA from 1 species
AUACGGAGGAUGCGAGCGUUAUCCGGAUUUAUUGGGUUUAAAGGGAGCGUAGGUGGGAUAUUAAGUCAGCUGUGAAAGUUUGGGGCUCAACCUUAAAAUUGCAGUUGAUACUGGUUUCCUUGAGUACGGUACAGGUGGGCGGAAUUCGUGGUGUAGCGGUGAAAUGCUUAGAUAUCACGAAGAACUCCGAUCGCGAAGGCAGCUCACCGGGCCGGAACUGACACUGAUGCUCGAAAGUGCGGGUAUCAAACAGGAUUAGAUACCCUGGUAGUCCGCACAGUAAACGAUGAAUACUCGCUGUUUGCGAUACACUGUAAGCGGCCAAGCGAAAGCGUUAAGUAUUCCGCCUGGGGAGUACGCCGGCAACGGUGAAACUUAAAGGAAUUGACGGGG